GAUGAACGCUGGCGGCGUGCCUAAUACAUGCAAGUCGAGCGAACAGAUGAGGAGCUUGCGCCUCGGACGUUAGCGGCGGACGGGUGAGUAACACGUGUAUAACCUACCUAUAAGACGGGGAUAACUUCGGGAAAGCGGAGCUAAUACCGGAUAAUAUAUUGAACCGCGUGGUUCAAUAGUGAAAGACGGCGGUGCGGUCACUUAUAGAUGGAUCCGCGCCGCAUUAGCGAGUUGGUAAGGUAACGGCUUAGCAAGGCAACGAGGCGUAGCCGAACUGAGAGGGUGAUAGGCGACACGGGAAGGGAGACGCGGUCCAGACUCCUACGGGAGGCAGCAGUAGGGAAUCUUCCGCAAUGGGCGGAAGCCUUACGGAGCAACGCCGCGUGAGUGAUGACGGUCUUCGGAUCGUAAAACUCUGUUAUUAGGGAAGAACAAAUGUGUAAGUAACUAUGCACGUCUUGACGGUACCUAAUCAGAAAGCAACGGCUAACUACGUG
rnacentral:rRNA from 1 species